rnacentral:rRNA from 1 species
UGGGAACCUUCCCUAUGGUUCGGAAUAGCUCAGGGAAACUUGGGGUAAUACCGGAUAAGCCCUUCGGGGAAAGAUUUAUCGCCAUUGGAUGGGCCCGCGUCGGAUUAGCUAGUUGGUGAGGUAACGGCUCACCAAGGCAACGAUCCGUAGCUGGUCUGAGAGGAUGAUCAGCCACACUGGGACUGAGACACGGCCCAGACUCCUACGGGAGGCAG